ensembl:snRNA U6 U6 spliceosomal RNA
GUUCUCGCUUCGGCAGCACAUAUACUAAAAUUGGAACGAUAUAGAGAAGAUUAGCAUGGCCCCUGCACAAGGAUGACACACAAAUUCGUGAAGCGUUCCAUAUUUAA